rnacentral:rRNA from 1 species
UACGUAGGGUGCAAGCGUUGUCCGGAAUUAUUGGGCGGAAAGAGCUCGUAGGCGGUUUGUCGCGUCGAAUGUGAAAACCCGGGGCUCAACCCUGGAAGGCCGGUGGAAACUGUCGGGCUAGAGUCCGGAAGAGGCGAGUGGAAUUCCCGGUGUAGCGGUGAAAUGCGCAGAUAUCGGGAGGAACACCAAUGGCGAAGGCAGCUCGCUGGGACGGUACUGACGCUGAGACGCGAAAGCGUGGGGAGCAAACAGG